AACGAACGCUGGCGGCAUGCCUAACACAUGCAAGUCGAACGAGACCUUCGGGUCUAGUGGCGCACGGGUGCGUAACGCGUGGGAAUCUGCCCUUCGGUUGGGAAUAACUGAGAGAAAUUUCAGCUAAUACCUUAUAAUGUCUUCGGACCAAAGAUUUAUCGCCGAGGGAUGAGCCCGCGUAGGAUUAGGUAGUUGGUGGGGUAAUGGCCUACCAAGCCGACGAUCCUUAGCUGGUCUGAGAGGAUGAUCAGCCACACUGGGACUGAGACACGGCCCAGACUCAUACGGGAGGCAGCAGUGGGGAAUAUUGGACAAUGGGCGAAAGACUGAUCCAUCAAUGCCGCGUGAGUGAUGAAGGCCGUAGGGUUGUAAAGCUCUUUUACCAGGGAUGAUAAUGACAGUACCGGGAGAAUAAGCACCGGCUAAGUCCGUG
rnacentral:rRNA from 1 species